rnacentral:lncRNA from 1 species
AAAUACUUGAACUCAAACCGGUGUGCUCUCGUGACCAAGAACCCGUGCAAUCCAAGACUCGAUCGAGGCCUAAAGGCAAAAGCGAAUGUAAGUAUGUAUUAGAUUAUGUAUUUGAAGGAAACUAAUAGUAUGUUUUGUGAAAGUUUUGAACAAAUUAUGAUAACGACAUGGUAAAUAAGUUUUGAAAAUGUUACACGAGCCGAAACUAAAUUCUUCGGACAUAAGGUG